GGGCUCCCAUGAUGUCUAGCACUGGGCUCCUAGCAUCCCUGAGGACACCGUGCGCCCCCAGGACCUUUGACACCUGGGGGACUGAGGAGCUU